GUGGUAGUAGCGGUGGUAAUAGUGGUAGUAGUAGUAGCAGUAGUGGUGGUGAUUGGUAGUAGUGGUGGUAGUAGUAGUAGCAGUAGUGGUGGUGAUGGUAGUAGUGGUGGUAGUAGUAGUAGUAGCAGUGGUGGUGGUGAUGGUAGUAGUGGUGGUAGUAGUAGUAGCAGUGGUGGUGGUGAUGGAGGUAGUGGUGGUAGUAGUAGUGAUAGUAGUAGUGGUAGUGGUGGUAGUAGUAGUAGUAGUAGUAGCGGUGGUAAUAGUGGUAGUAGUAGUAGCAGUAGUGGUGGUGAUGGUAGUAGUAGUGGUAGUGGUGGUAGUAGUAGUAGUGGUAGUAGCGGUGGUAAUAAUGGUAGUAGUAGUAGCAGUAGUGGUGGUGAUGGUAGUAGUGGUGGUAGUAGUAGUAGUGGUAGUGGUGGUAGUAGUAGUAGUGGUAGUAGCGGUGGUAAUAGUGGUAGUAGUAGUAGCAGUAGUGGUGGUGAUGGUAGUAGUGGUGGUAGUAGUAGUAGCAGUGGUGGUGGUGAUGGUAGUAGUGGUGGUAGUAGUAGUAGCAGUAGUGGUGGUGAUGGUAGUAGUGGUGUAGUAGUAGUGAUAGUAGUAGUGGUAGUGGUGGUAGUAGUAGUAGUGGUAGUAGCGGUGGUAAUAGUGGUAGUAGUAGUAGCAGUAGUGGUGGUGGUGAUGGUAGUAGUGGUGGUAGUAGUAGUGAUAGUAGUAGUGUUAGUAGUGGUGGUAGAAGUGGUAGUAGUAGUUAUAGUGGUAGUAGUAGUAGUGGUGGUAGCAGUAGUGGUAGUAGCGGUGGUAAUAGUGGUAGUAGUAGUAGCAGUAGUGGUGGUGGUGGUGGUAGUAGUGGUGGUAGUAGUAGUAAUAGUAGUAGUAGCAGUGGUAGUAGUGGUGGUAGAAGUGGUAGUAGUAGUAACAGUAGUGGUGGUGGUGGUAGUAGUUAUAGUGGUAGUAGUAGUAGCAGUGGUGGUGGUGAUGGUAGUAGUGGUGGUAGUAGUAGUAGUAGUGGUAGUAGUAGUAGUGGUGGUAGUAGUAGUAGUAGUGGUAGUAGUAGUAGUAGCAGUGGUGGUGGUGAUGGUAGUAGUGGUGGUAGUAGUAGUAGCAGUGGUGGUGGUGAUGGUAGUAGUGGUGGUAGUAGUAGUGAUAGUAGUAGUGGUAGUGGUGGUAGUAGUAGUAGUCGUAGUAGUAGUAGUAACAGUAGUGGUGGUGGUGGUGGUAGUAGUGGUAGUAGUAGUUAUAGUGGUAGUAGUAGUUAUAGUGGUAGUAGUGGUAGUAGUAGUAGUAGCAGUGGUGGUGGUGAUGGUAGUAGUAGUGGUAGUAGUAGUUAUAGUGGUAGUAGUAGUAGUAGUAGUAGUAGCAGUGGUGGUGGUGAUGGUAGUAGUGGUGGUAGUAGUGGUAGUAGUAGCAGUGGUGGUGGUGAUGGUAGUAGUGGUGGUAGUAGUAGUGAUAGUAGUAGUGGUAGUGGUAGUAGUAGUAGUAGUGGUAGUAGUAGUAUUGUGGUUUAUUCGCAUU
ensembl:lncRNA